GGGCUGGGCUCGGGGGUCCCAGUUCCGA
rnacentral:snRNA from 1 species